GGAAGGAUCAAUCACAAUACAUACUAACCUAAACUCAGCCUGUGCUCCACGUGAGUAAGAUGAACAAAACACUUAUUAUUCGAAAGAAGAAAAAUUUUCAACGGUGGAUGUCUUGGCUCUCAUAUCGAUGAAGAACGCAGCAAAGUGCGAUAAGCAAUGCGAAUUGCAGGCCGUGAGUCAUUAGAAUUUCGAAAGCAACUUGCGCCUCCGCCUGGCGAGAGGCAUGUUUGCUUCAGUGUAUCUUAACAUAAUAUCCUCCAUCUCUGAGAUCAUGAAGUGAGUGAGCUUCUUUUGGGCUCUCGUUCACAACGUUCGCAAGUAGCUGUGUCUACAUUCACUCAUUAGCCGAUCACCUCGUGUGAACAAGGAUAAUAGAGGGUAGACUGCAGGCGGUUUCGCGACUACUUAGCCAACAGAAAACUCAUUUAUGUUAUCUGAAGUCAAGCAAGAGCACGCGCUGAACUUAAGCAUAUCACUAAGCGCAGGGAAACAAAAAUAACAAUGAUUGCCUCAGUAACGGCGAGUGAAGCGGCAAGAGCCCAAGAUGAGAAUCGCGAGCCUCAAGCUUUGCGAAUUGUAAUCUAAAGAGCGAACGCUGACCAGCUUCCUGAAGCCCAAGUGUCUUGGAAUAGACCGCCAGGGAGGGUGAAAGCCCCGUACGGCGUCGGGAAAACGCUAGGCGUCGCUUGAAGAGUCGAGUUGUUCGGGACUGCAGCUCUAAGUGGGAGGUAGACUUCUCCUAAGGCUACAAUAACUAUGAGAGACCGAUAGCGAACAAGUAAUGUGAAUGAAAGAUGAAAAAUAAUUUUUAUACGUAAGAACUUUGAAUGAAUAAAAGAGAAUUAAAGAGACCUGAAACCGUUGAGGUGGAAGCGAUAGGAAGUUUCCAUUUGGCUUGGAGCUGGCAAAGCGGCGUCGAGUCUGUCGCGCGUCGGUCACCGCAAGGGGCCGUGCGUGGCUGGCGUAGCCGCGAGUUUGCUCCCUGUCAAAAAGCAAGAUCGGCUUCGCCUGCGUCAUACACCCUGCUGGGCCAGAGCUUCGGCAUCACUCAGCUGGCGGUCGUCGCGGGCGAGGUCGAGGGACUUCGUGUGUUCUUGCUAAAUUGUGAUAUUUUCCUACCGACCCGUCUUGAAACACGGACCAAGGAGUCUAACAUAUAUGCGAUUAUGUUGGUGUUCUUAAACCAAACAUGAGCAAUGAAAGUGAGCGGUGCCAAUCGCAAGAUGCAGCAUCGGCCAAUUGCGAUCCUCUGGAGAAGCGUAUUGGCUGCGAGCAUAUCUGUUAGGACCCGAAAGAUGGUGAACUACGCUUGGGUAGGGUGAAGCCAGGGGAAACUCUUGUGGAAGCCCGAAACGGUACUGACGUGCAAAUCGUUCGUCAAACUUGAGUGUAGGGGCGAAAGACUAAUCGAACCAUCUAGUAGCUGGUUCCCUC
rnacentral:misc_RNA from 1 species